AUGAAUUCUAAAAAGGACCUUUUUCUGAAAGCUCUGCACCAAAAUCUUUCUUUUGGGUAAUUAGCUUUUUGGAUCCAAAUGGUAACUUUGCUACUCGUUUUCUCAUUUCUUCAUUGGGUGGCCACUACUCCAGUUUCCAUGGGUUUUCUUUCACCUAAAGGUGUCAACUAUGAAGUGGCAGCAUUGAUGUCUAUGAAGAAUAAAAUGAGAGAUGAAUAUCAUGUGUUAGAUGGAUGGGAUAUAAAUUCUGUUGAUCCUUGUACAUGGUACAUGGUUGGUUGUUCUUCAGAAGGCUUUGUUAUUUCUCUUGAAAUGGCGAGUAUGGGAUUAUCUGGCACACUUUCGCCUAGUAUUGGGAAUUUAACUCAUCUUCGGACGAUGUUGUUGCAGAAUAAUCAUUUAUCUGGUCCGAUUCCUGCUGAAAUUGGACAGCUCACUGAACUGCUGACCCUUGAUUUGUCUGGUAAUCAGUUUGAUGGAGGAAUUCCUAGGGCGUUGGGUCGCCUGGUUUAUUUAAAUUACUUGAGGCUUAGCAGGAACAGAUUGUCUGGUCAAAUUCCUAAACCUGUGGCAUACCUUUCAGGUCUUUCAUUCUUGGACUUAUCAUUCAAUAACCUAAGUGGUCCAACACCUAAAAUUUUGGCCAAAGACUACAGUAUUGCAGGAAACAGAUUUCUUUGCUCUGCAUUGACCACACAAAUUUGUGGGGGUGUGCCAAAAGCAGUAAAUGAAACAUCUUCAGACAGGAGGAUUAGCAAUCAUCAUCGAUGGGUUGUUUCUGUUAUUGUUGGGGUCAGUUGCACAUUCAUAGUUACAGUCAUGCUUCUUGUUUGUUGGGUGCAUUGGUACAGAUCUCGUGUCCUCACAGGAUAUGUGCAACACGAUUGUGAGUUCGCUGCUGGCCACCUGAAGAGAUUUUCAUUUCGUGAACUGCAAAUUGCAACUGCAAAUUUCAGCUCUAAGAACAUACUAGGACAAGGUGGAUUUGGAGUGGUCUACAAAGGAUACCUUCCAAAUAGGACAGUAGUGGCUGUCAAAAGAUUGAGAGAUCCAACUUUCACUGGAGAAGUGCAGUUUCAAACAGAAGUUGAGAUGAUAGGCUUGGCUGUGCAUCGGAACCUUCUACGUCUGUAUGGAUUCUGUACGACUCCCGAGGAAAGAUUACUUAUUUACCCUUAUAUGCCAAAUGGGAGCGUUGCCGAUUGCUUGAGAGACAAUGGACGGGAUAAACCGUUUUUGGAUUGGAGAAAGCGCAUGCAUAUAGCUCUUGGAGCUGCCAGAGGUCUUCUGUAUUUGCAUGAACAGUGUAAUCCUAAAAUAAUUCACAGAGAUGUUAAGGCAGCUAAUAUUCUGCUUGAUGAAAGUUUUGAAGCUGUUGUUGGUGAUUUUGGUCUUGCUAAGCUUUUAGACUGUAGAGAUUCACAUGUUACAACUGCAGUUCGUGGUACUAUAGGUCAUAUAGCCCCAGAGUAUCUAUCAACUGGCCAAUCAUCUGAGAAGACGGAUGUCUUUGGAUACGGGAUACUACUUUUGGAACUCAUUACAGGACACAAGGCAUUAGAUGCAGGAAUUGGUCAGGGUCAGAAAGGAACUAUUCUUGACCGGGUCCGGAAUUUAUUUGAGGAAAAGAAAGUGGAGAUGCUUGCGGAUAGGGAUCUUAGAGGAUGUUUUAAUGCAGAGGAACUAGAGAAAACAGUUGAAGUGGCUCUACAGUGUACUCAAUCUAACCCCAAUAAUCGGCCUAAGAUGUCGGAAGUCUUGAGAAUCCUGGAAGGUAUUACAGAACAAAUGGGGCAUGUGGACGAAUCACAAGGUGGAAGCAACAUAUGUCAAACAAGUGCUUUCAGCUUCUCUAGGAAUUUUAGUGAUAUUCAUGAAGAAUCCUCAUUUACCUUUGAACCAAUUGAGCUUUCAGGACCCAGAUAACAUAAGUAGCCUGCACUGGCCUACUCAUAAUAAGCGUGCGUGCAAUCUUGAUAUAUCUAGCUCAGCCAUACAUAUGAGUAUAUUGUUGCUUUAAGUCAAUGCCCUAGCACUCUGUCUAUGCGUUGCAGAAGUUUGAUUCUUACUAGUAUUUUGUAGUGAGAUAAACAAGAAUCUAGAUUGAGGAUAUGCUCCCCACGUUUUGAGCGGCUGUUGGAGAGUUCAUUUUGGAGUUAAGUCAAUGCAACUUAUUUCCAUAUUGAACUUUUAAAUAUACUCAGAACAAACCUAUGGAAAUAUUGUCUUUCAUUAACACAAUAGCUGAAGCAAGUGAGGAGGUGCUUGUAGAGUACAGAAUAGUGAGGAGGUGCUUGUAGAGUUUCUUCAUGGUACCAAGUUAACUACCAUUGGACUCCUAACUAAGUGCUUGGAUGAGGUCCAUUUCAAAAAUCCUUGAACGAGCGUGGCAUUAAUGUUUGGAAUUAAUCGGUUAAACGUUACUCGAUAUGUUAUCUUCUGGUACAUCUCUGAGAAGUGUAAGGUGGAAGGCUCAACUUUCACAUCAACUCCUUGGGGUGGCACAAUCUCCAGCGUAUAAGAUGAUACAGGCUCCCCAACGUUGGUCACAGUCCUUGUGUAUGCUUGUAAAUCAGAUCCAAGUCUGAUUGAAAAGGAUGGAUAGUUUAGUUCUGCUUCAGGAAUGGUUGAUGAGCAGUUCACUUCUUGCAAAACAAUCAAACCAGCAGCUCUACUUGGGUAUAAUCCGCAUAAAUAAUGUAUAUACUCAUUUGGUCGGAUGUCAUAGAUCAGUCCCGGAUCAUUUGCUCUUAAUGGGUUAACGUGGCCUGCACCAGUUGCAAAGAAGUCAGCACGGAGGCCCCUUUUAUCUUCAAUGGGAUUAUUUUCAAGGUUUACCAGAUCAGAGGUUGUCAUGAUUGCAGACUUGAUAGCAGCUGGAGACCAUUCUGGAUGUGCACUCUUGAUCAAUGUUACAACUCCUGAAAGGUGAGGACAGGACAUUGAAGUGCCAGACAGUGUGUCAAAGGUAGACUUUUUGUUGGUAUUAUUCUCCACAGAUGUUGGUCAUGCUGCAAGGAUGCUAAUACCAGGACCGAUAAUAUCAGGUUUCAAUAUGCCAGGGCUUUCUGGAAAAGGGCCUCUAGAUGAAAAGGCUGCAACUGCUGGAGCAUGAUCAUCUCCACAUGUAGUUCCUUUAAACAAAUCAAUAAAACUGAUAUGUGCUGCUGCUAGAAGAACAUGAGGUUCAGCUUGUGUAGUGAAGCCUUGUGGUUCCUCAUUCAUGAGUAUCAUUCCAGCACCCCCAGCAUCCUUCACAAAAUGUCCUUUAUCAAGUCCGUUUAUCUUACCACCAUCUUCACAAAAGACUAUCUUUCCCUUCACAUUAAUGUUUUUCAAAGACUCGGCAUUGCAGAAUGGGGCCAUCAGAUCACUAGAACUUUUUCCAGGGUAAACUAAUGGAAGCAGAGUUUGAGAGAAAUCUUCAGGUUGGAAAGCUGAUUCACCAUCAAUUUCUUCACUGUCCCCCAGCAGUACUGUUGCCCUUAGUUUUCUAUCAGUGGUGCUAGCACCAACAGUGAGAAGCCAUGGAGCUCCAUUUGCUACUAUGCCAUGUUCGGGGCCCAUAUAUCCAGCUGUGGUGCUCACUAGAAUGCCGUUUUGAAUUGCAGUAAAUGAACAGAGUGCAAUAGAGUCAUCCCAGAAAGGUCUAGAGAUAUCGUCAAUGGAAAUAGAAAUUACAUCAACACCAUCUUUGAUUGCAGAUCCAUAGCAGCAAAUGUGUCACUCUCAGAACAAGCAGCCUAGCGUCACAGACUUUAUACAUGGCAACAUGAGCAAGGGGAGCCACGCCAGAAGCUGUUCCAUUAGAAAGUCCAAAAACAUUGGCACCACUGACAAAGUUCCCAGCAGCUGUGCUAGCAACAUGUGUGCCAUGUCCAUUCUCAUCCAAAGGCGUCCCGUUUCCAAAUUCCUUGAAAUAUCUAGCUCCAAUGAGCUUGUUAUUGCAGGCUGUAGUAAAGUUGAAUUCACACUUGCCCUUCCACUUUGCCGGUGGAGGAGGCACUCCUUCAUCAUUGAAUGAUGGAUGAUCGGGUGUUAUAUCAGUGUCUAAAAAACCAAUAAUCAUACCUUUACCAUAGUUUAUACUUUUCCAGAAGCCUAAGUUCUGGUGCAGCCCAUGAAAUGAGUACUGUGGGUGGUCCGUGCAUGCAACAGUCUUUGUGGCCGCACUAAUAUGAUCCCUUCUGUCUCCUGCAGAAGCUCUGCUUCAUUUGGUGUUAGUUUAGCUGCAAAACCAUUAAGGACAUUGCGAUAAGAGUAAACUAUGUGGGAGGAUGCAGAAUCAUUUGGACUCGUUUUCUUUGGGGGCAGACAAUAAUGGUGCCACAUUUGUAAACUAUCCAAGUCAGAGAGAAGUUGUCCAUGAAAUGACUCAAGAUGGACUAUGUAAACAUCUGAUUUGUUGCUCUGCUGAUUGGUAUUACUUGCAUGUAUGGAUGAAGAAUAAAGACUGAGAGUAAAGAUGACAGUUAAAAGAAGUUCCAAAUCCAUGUUUAUCAGUGCUAAUUAAUGAGCCACAUUUCUUGUAAACCACAUAUAUAUAGUGUCAAUUUCUUAUGAUUGGUUUUGUCAUCAUUUUUUUAAUAGUGUCUUCAGUAUUCAAGUAAUCGAAAGAAUUUGAGUGA